CCUACGGUGGGCAGCAGUGGGGAAUAUUGCACAAUGGGCGAAAGCCUGAUGCAGCAACGCCGCGUGAAGGAAGACGGUUUUCGGAUUGUAAACUUCUAUCAAUAGGGAAGAAAGAAAUGACGGUACCUAAAUAAGAAGCCCCGGCUAACUACGUGCCAGCAGCCGCGGAAAUACGAAGGGGCAAACCGUUAUCCGGAAUUAUUGGGGGUAAAGGGAGAGUAGGUGGCAAGGUAAGCGAUAUGUGAAAGCCUUAAGCUUAACUUAAGGAUUGCAUAACGAACUAUCUAGCUAGAGUACAGGAGAGGAAAGCGGAAUUCCUAGUGUAGCGGUGAAAUGCGUAGAUAUUAGGAAGAACACCAGUGGCGAAGGCGGCUUUCUGGACUGAAACUGACGCUGAGGCUCGAAAGCGUGGGGAGCGAACAGGAUUAGAUACCCCUGUAGUC
rnacentral:rRNA from 1 species